rnacentral:ncRNA from 2 species
AGAACGCUCGGACGCGCUGAUGCCCCACCUGAAAUGGGCACUUAGGGUGGGGUUGAGCGAGUAGUGCAACCGACCGACCAUGUG